UGAAGAAAAAGAUGAUUUGAAUUAUCUGUGAUAGUUGCUAGUACUGUAAUGUCUUCUAUCAUGUAUAGAAUAUAGGUGGUUUUAGUAAAUAUCUAAGAUGUACAUUUACUUAAUGACCAUGGUAUAUCAAACAAUGCUUUUAAAAGAUUUUAUUAUUCAUUCUUAAUUUUUAAUUGCAACUUUUUCAUUAUAGAAACUGUGAGAAAACCGAUCCAUGUGAAUAUGAAUAGAGACAUAAAAAUGCCCCUGAGAAAACAUGAUUUAGAACUUGCAAUGUCGCCUCAUCUUGUCCCGUCUAACCUUUGCAUUGAUGAUAUGGAAAACAAUUUACACUAUGAAAGACAAGGCAGCAAGGAAGAACUUGGCCCAGUUAAGCUCAGUAAUGUUAAUUAUUCUAAUUCCGUGAUUUCAAA